GGACCCGCACAAGCGGUGGAGCAUGUGGUUUAAUUCGAAGCAACGCGAAGAACCUUACCAAGUCUUGACAUCCCGAUGACAGCGCUGUAAUGAGUGCUUCUCUUCGGAGCAUCGGAGACAGGUGGUGCAUGGUUGUCGUCAGCUCGUGUCGUGAGAUGUUGGGUUAAGUCCCGCAACGAGCGCAACCCUUGUUCUUAGUAGCCAGCAGUUCGGCUGGGCACUCUAAGGAGACUGCCGGGGUGAACCCGGAGGAAGGUGGGGAUGACGUCAAAUCAUCAUGCCCCUUAUGACUUGGGCUACACACGUGCUACAAUGGCGUAAACAAAGGGAGGCAAAGCCGCGAGGCGGAGCAAAUCUCAUAAAUAACGUCUCAGUUCGGAUUGUAGUCUGCAACUCGACUACAUGAAGCUGGAAUCGCUAGUAAUCGCAGAUCAGAAUGCUGCGGUGAAUACGUUCCCGGGUCUU
rnacentral:rRNA from 1 species